rnacentral:rRNA from 1 species
ACGAACGCUGGCGGCGUGCUUAACACAUGCAAGUCGAACGGAAAGGCCCCUUUGGGGGUACUCGAGUGGCGAACGGGUGAGUAACACGUGAGUAACCUGCCCUUGACUUCGGGUUAACUUCAGGAAACUGGGGCUAAUCCCGGAUAGGAAUCCUUGCUGCAUGGCGGGGGUUGGAAAGCUUCGGCGGGUUUGGUUGGACUCGCGGCUUAUCAGCUUGGUUGGGGGGUAGUGGCUUACCAAGGCUUUGCCGGGUAGCCGGCCUGAGAGGGGGACCGGCCACAGUGGGACUGAGAUACGGCCCAGACUCCUACGGGAGGCAGCAGUGGGGAAGAUUGCACAAUGGGCGGAAGCCUGAUGCAGCAACGCCGCGGGCGGGAUGACGGGCUUCGGGUUGGAAACCGCUUUCAGCAGGGGCGAAGCUUGUGGUGACGGUACCUGCAGAAGAAGCACCGGCUAACUACGUG